GUGCCAGCAGCCGCGGUAAUACCGGCAGCCCGAGUGGUGGCCGAUCUUAUUGGGCCUAAAGCGUCCGUAGCUGGCUGCGCAAGUCCGUCGGGAAAUCCACGCGCUCAACGCGUGGGCGUCCGGCGGAAACCACUCGGCUUGGGGCCGGAGGACUCGAGGGGUACGUCUGGGGUAGGAGUGAAAUCCCGUAAUCCUGGACGGACCGCCGAUGGCGAAAGCACCUCGAGAGGACGGACCCGACAGUGAGGGACGAUAGCCAGGGUCUCGAACCGGAUUAGAAACCCCAGUAGUCC
rnacentral:rRNA from 1 species